rnacentral:rRNA from 1 species
CAAUAGCGUAUAUUAAAGUUGUUGCAGUUAAAAAGCUCGUAGUUGAAUUUUUGCUUGCCGCCGAUGUCGGAACUUCCGUACGUUCGGCGGCGUGCAUCCUUGGGUGGAACCUGUGUGGCAUUAGGUUGUCGUGCAGGGGAUGCUCAUCGUUUACUGUGAAAAAAUUAGAGUGUUCAAAGCAGGCUUAUGCCGUUGAAUAUAUUAGCAUGGGAUAAUAAGAUAGGACCUUGGUACUAUUUUGUUGGUUUGCGCACCGAGGUAAUGAUUAACAGGGACAGUUGGGGGUAUUCGUAUUCCAUUGUCAGAGGUGAAAUUCUUGGAUUUCUGGAAGACGAACUACUGCGAANGNAUUUACNAAGGAUGUUUNCAUUA